rnacentral:rRNA from 1 species
GAAAUCAACCGAGAUUCCCCCAGUAGCGGCGAGCGAACGGGGAGGAGCCCAGAGCCUGAAUCAGUGUGUGUGUUAGUGGAAGCGUCUGGAAAGGCGCGCGAUACAGGGUGACAGCCCCGUACACAAAAAUGCACAUACUGUGAGCUCGAUGAGUAGGGCGGGACACGUGGUAUCCUGUCUGAAUAUGGGGGGACCAUCCUCCAAGGCUAAAUACUCCUGACUGACCGAUAGUGAACCAGUACCGUGAGGGAAAGGCGAAAAGAACCCCGGCGAGGGGAGUGAAAAAGAACCUGAAACCGUGUACGUACAAGCAGUGGGAGCCUCUUUAUGGGGUGACUGCGUACCUUUUGUAUAAUGGGUCAGCGACUUAUAUUCUGUAGCAAGGUUAACCGAAUAGGGGAGCCGAAGGGAAACCGAGUCUUAACUGGGCGUUAAGUUGCAGGGUAUAGACCCGAAACCCGGUGAUCUAGCCAUGGGCAGGUUGAAGGUUGGGUAACACUAACUGGAGGACCGAACCGACUAAUGUUGAAAAAUUAGCGGAUGACUUGUGGCUGGGGGUGAAAGGCCAAUCAAACCGGGAGAUAGCUGGUUCUCCCCGAAAGCUAUUUAGGUAGCGCCUCGUGAAUUCAUCUCCGGGGGUAGAGCACUGUUUCGGCAAGGGGGUCAUCCCGACUUACCAACCCGAUGCAAACUGCGAAUACCGGAGAAUGUUAUCACGGGAGACACACGGCGGGUGCUAACGUCCGUCGUGAAGAGGGAAACAACCCAGACCGCCAGCUAAGGUCCCAAAGUCAUGGUUAAGUGGGAAACGAUGUGGGAAGGCCCAGACAGCCAGGAUGUUGGCUUAGAAGCAGCCAUCAUUUAAAGAAAGCGUAAUAGCUCACUGGUCGAGUCGGCCUGCGCGGAAGAUGUAACGGGGCUAAACCAUGCACCGAAGCUGCGGCAGCGACACUAUGUGUUGUUGGGUAGGGGAGCGUUCUGUAAGCCUGUGAAGGUGGCCUGUGAGGGUGGCUGGAGGUAUCAGAAGUGCGAAUGCUGACAUAAGUAACGAUAAAGCGGGUGAAAAGCCCGCUCGCCGGAAGACCAAGGGUUCCUGUCCAACGUUAAUCGGGGCAGGGUGAGUCGACCCCUAAGGCGAGGCCGAAAGGCGUAGUCGAUGGGAAACAGGUUAAUAUUCCUGUACUUGGUGUUACUGCGAAGGGGGGACGGAGAAGGCUAUGUUGGCCGGGCGACGGUUGUCCCGGUUUAAGCGUGUAGGCUGGUUUUCCAGGCAAAUCCGGAAAAUCAAGGCUGAGGCGUGAUGACGAGGCACUACGGUGCUGAAGCAACAAAUGCCCUGCUUCCAGGAAAAGCCUCUAAGCAUCAGGUAACAUCAAAUCGUACCCCAAACCGACACAGGUGGUCAGGUAGAGAAUACCAAGGCGCUUGAGAGAACUCGGGUGAAGGAACUAGGCAAAAUGGUGCCGUAACUUCGGGAGAAGGCACGCUGAUAUGUAGGUGAAGUCCCUUGCGGAUGGAGCUGAAAUCAGUCGAAGAUACCAGCUGGCUGCAACUGUUUAUUAAAAACACAGCACUGUGCAAACACGAAAGUGGACGUAUACGGUGUGACGCCUGCCCGGUGCCGGAAGGUUAAUUGAUGGGGUUAGCGGUAACGCGAAGCUCUUGAUCGAAGCCCCGGUAAACGGCGGCCGUAACUAU